rnacentral:rRNA from 1 species
ACGGAAGGCAGCAGUGGGGAAUAUUGCACAAUGGGGGAAACCCUGAUGCAGCGACGCCGCGUGAGUGAAGAAGUUAUUCGUAAUGUAAAGCUCUAUCAGCAGGGAAGAAAAUGACGGUACCUGACUAAGAAGCCCCGGCUAACUACGUGCCAGCAGCCGCGGUAAUACGUAGGGGGCAAGCGUUAUCCGGAUUUACUGGGUGUAAAGGGAGCGUAGACGGUCUAGCAAGUCUGAUGUGAAAGGCAGGGGCUCAACUCCUGGACUGCAUUGGAAACUGUUAGUCUUGAGUGUCGGAGAGGUAAGCGGAAUUCCUAGUGUAGCGGUGAAAUGCGUAGAUAUUAGGAGGAACACCAGUGGCGAAGGCGGCUUACUGGACGAUAACUGACGUUGAGGCUCGAAAGCGUGGGGAGCAGACAGGAUUAGAUACCCUGGUA